ACCUGAUUGCUCAGUCAGGAAAGAAUCUGCCUGCAAUGCAGAAUACCCAGGUUCAAUUUCUGGAUCAGGAA
rnacentral:tRNA from 1 species